rnacentral:rRNA from 1 species
CAGUAGCCACGGGAAUACAGAGGGUGCAAGCGUUAAUCGGAAUUACUGGGCGUAAAGCGCGCGUAGGUGGUUUGUUAAGUUGGAUGUGAAAUCCCCGGGCUCAACCUGGGAACUGCAUCCAAAACUGGCAAGCUAGAGUAUGGUAGAGGGUGGUGGAAUUUCCUGUGUAGCGGUGAAAUGCGUAGAUAUAGGAAGGAACACCAGUGGCGAAGGCGACCACCUGGACUGAUACUGACACUGAGGUGCGAAAGCGUGGGGAGCAAACAGGAUUAGAUACCCCCGUAGUCCCUGUCUCUUAUAC